rnacentral:lncRNA from 1 species
UGUUUUCGAAAAAUGAGUUUCGUUUAGUGGUACAAUUUCCUUACAUUUUGCCUGUCUGCAGAAGGAGAAUUUAGUGACUUGUUGGUAAACACGGCGACGGGCAUAUUUAUAUUAGUACACGAAUUUCUUCUGCUUUCUGCAGACAUAAUUUGAAUUAAAAUUAUGGAUAACAGUCUUAUAGUUGAUGGUCUGAAUAUUGCUGAACUGACUGACGAUGAACUUUCUGAAAGGUUGCAAAAUCUGGGUUUUAUACCAGGUCCUAUUUUAGUCCAGUGCAGCAUGUAUCCUCACCAAACUCCUUGAGUGUCCCAGGGGCACAUGAUCAACACUUUGGGAAACAUUGCCUUAAGGUCGUAAGUGCUGCUU